rnacentral:rRNA from 1 species
CCAUGAAGCUGGAUUCGCUAGUAAUCGCGCAUCAGCCACGGCGCGGUGAAUACGUUCCCGGGCCUUGUACACACCGCCCGUCAAGCCAUGGAAGCCGGGAGUGCCUGAAGUGCGUGACCGCAAGGAGCGUCCUAAGGCAAUACCGGUGACUGGGGCUAAGUCGUAACAAGGUAUC